CCUACGGGUGGCAGCAGUGAGGAAUAUUGGUCAAUGGGCGCAAGCCUGAUGCAGUGACGCCGCGUGAGCGAAGAAGUAUUUCGGUAUGUAAAGCUCUAUCAGCAGGGAAGAAAAUGACGGUACCUGACGAAGAAGCUCCGGCUAAAUACGUGCCAGCAGCCGCGGUAAUACGUAGGGCGCAAGCGUUAUCCGGAUUGACUGGGUGUAAAGGGAGCGUAGGCGGCAUGGGAAGUCUGAUGUGAAAACCUGGGGCUCAACCCCAAACGUGCAUUGGAAACUGCAGGUCUGUAGGGGGGGAGAGGCAGGCGGAAUUCCUGGUGUAGGGGUGAAAUGCGUAGAGAUCAGGAGGAACACCAGUGGCGAAGGCGACCUGCUGGAAGAUAACUGACGCUGAGGCUCGAAAGCGUGGGGAGCAAACAGGAUUAGAUACCCUUGUAGUC
rnacentral:rRNA from 1 species